ACACGUAGUCAACCUAACUCGUGGACGUGGAUAACCUCGGGAAACUGAGAAUAAACCACGAUAGAUCAUAGUGCCUGGAAUGGCUUAUGGUCCAAACAGUUUACUGCCAUGGGAUGGGACUGCGGCCUAUCAGCUUGUUGGUGAGGUAAUGGCCCACCAAGGCGAUUACAGGUACGGGCUCUGAGAGGAGAAGCCCGGAGAUGGGUACUGAGACACGGACCCAGGCCCUAUGGGGCGCAGCAGGCGAGAAACCUUAGCAAUGUGCGAAAGCACGACUGGGUCAGUCCGAGUGAUUCCUGAUAAAGGAGUCUUUUGCUUGUCCUAAAAGCACAGGUGAAUAAGGGGUGGGCAAGUCUGGUGUCAGCCGCCGCGGUAAUACCAGCACCUCGAGUGGUCAGGACGUUUAUUGGGCCUAAAGCAUCCGUAGCCGGCUCUGCAAGUCUUCGGUUAAAUCCACCUGCUCAACAGAUGGGCUGCUGGAGAUACUACAGAGCUAGGGAGUGGGAGAGGCAGACGGUAUUCAGUGGGUAGGGGUAAAAUCCUCUGAUCCAUUGAGGACCACCAGUGGCGAAGGCGGUCUGCCAGAACACGUUCGACGGUGAGGGAUGAAAGCUGGGGGAGCAAACCGGAUUAGAUA
rnacentral:rRNA from 1 species